rnacentral:rRNA from 1 species
GAUGAAUCAAAGAAGGUAAUAAUCCUGUAGUCGAAAAUGUUGUCUCUCUUGAGUGGAUCCUGAGUACGACGGAGCACGUGAAAUUCCGUCGGAAUCUGGGAGGACCAUCUCCUAAGGCUAAAUACUCUCUAGUGACCGAUAGUGAACCAGUACCGUGAGGGAAAGGUGAAAAGCACCCCGGAAGGGGAGUGAAAUAGAACCUGAAACCGUGUGCUUACAAGUAGUCAGAGCCCGUUAAUGGGUGAUGGCGUGCCUUUUGUAGAAUGAACCGGCGAGUUACGAUUUGAUGCAAGGUUAAGCAGUAAAUGUGGAGCCGUAGCGAAAGCGAGUCUGAAUAGGGCGUUUAGUAUUUGGUCGUAGACCCGAAACCAGGUGAUCUACCCUUGGUCAGGUUGAAGUUCAGGUAACACUGAAUGGAGGACCGAACCGACUUACGUUGAAAAGUGAGCGGAUGAACUGAGGGUAGCGGAGAAAUUCCAAUCGAACCUGGAGAUAGCUGGUUCUCUCCGAAAUAGCUUUAGGGCUAGCCUCAAGUGAUGAUUAUUGGAGGUAGAGCACUGUUUGGACGAGGGGCCCCUCUCGGGUUACCGAAUUCAGACAAACUCCGAAUGCCAAUUAAUUUAACUUGGGAGUCAGAACAUGGGUGAUAAGGUCCGUGUUCGAAAGGGAAACAGCCCAGACCACCAGCUAAGGUCCCAAAAUAUAUGUUAAGUGGAAAAGGAUGUGGCGUUGCCCAGACAACUAGGAUGUUGGCUUAGAAGCAGCCAUCAUUUAAAGAGUGCGUAAUAGCUCACUAGUCGAGUGACACUGCGCCGAAAAUGUACCGGGGCUAAACAUAUUACCGAAGCUGUGGAUUGUCCUUUGGACAAUGGUAGGAGAGCGUUCUAAGGGCGUUGAAGCAUGAUCGUAAGGACAUGUGGAGCGCUUAGAAGUGAGAAUGCCGGUGUGAGUAGCGAAAGACGGGUGAGAAUCCCGUCCACCGAUUGACUAAGGUUUCCAGAGGAAGGCUCGUCCGCUCUGGGUUAGUCGGGUCCUAAGCUGAGGCCGACAGGCGUAGGCGAUGGAUAACAGGUUGAUAUUCCUGUACCACCUAUAAUCGUUUUAAUCGAUGGGGGGACGCAGUAGGAUAGGCGAAGCGUGCGAUUGGAUUGCACGUCUAAGCAGUAAGGCUGAGUAUUAGGCAAAUCCGGUACUCGUUAAGGCUGAGCUGUGAUGGGGAGAAGACAUUGUGUCUUCGAGUCGUUGAUUUCACACUGCCGAGAAAAGCCUCUAGAUAGAAAAUAGGUGCCCGUACCGCAAACCGACACAGGUAGUCAAGAUGAGAAUUCUAAGGUGAGCGAGCGAACUCUCGUUAAGGAACUCGGCAAAAUGACCCCGUAACUUCGGGAGAAGGGGUGCUCUUUAGGGUUAACGCCCAGAAGAGCCGCAGUGAAUAGGCCCAAGCGACUGUUUAUCAAAAACACAGGUCUCUGCUAAACCGUAAGGUGAUGUAUAGGGGCUGACGCCUGCCCGGUGCUGGAAGGUUAAGAGGAGUGGUUAGCUUCUGCGAAGCUACGAAUCGAAGCCCCAGUAAACGGCGGCCGUAACUAUAACGGUCCUAAGGUAGCGAAAUUCCUUGUCGGGUAAGUUCCGACCCGCACGAAAGGCGUAACGAUUUGGGCACUGUCUCAACGAGAGACUCGGUGAAAUCAUAGUACCUGUGAAGAUGCAGGUUACCCGCGACAGGACGGAAAGACCCCGUGGAGCUUUACUGUAGCCUGAUAUUGAAAUUCGGCACAGCUUGUACAGGAUAGGUAGGAGCCUUUGAAACGUGAGCGCUAGCUUACGUGGAGGCGCUGGUGGGAUACUACCCUAGCUGUGUUGGCUUUCUAACCCGCACCACUUAUCGUGGUGGGAGACAGUGUCAGGCGGGCAGUUUGACUGGGGCGGUCGCCUCCUAAAAGGUAACGGAGGCGCUCAAAGGUUCCCUCAGAAUGGUUGGAAAUCAUUCAUAGAGUGUAAAGGCAUAAGGGAGCUUGACUGCGAGACCUACAAGUCGAG